GCACUCCCUCCUCACCAGCGAUGAGAUCUGGGUGGGACAUCAGCCCCAUCUUUUUAUGGAUAGGGAAAUUGAGGCCAAGGAGACUGAGGUUUGCCACAUCACAGAGCAAGCAAGGACCAGAGCUGGGGCCCCCAGACUCCAGCUGAGGGCUUUCCUCACCAUGCACAUCCCCAGAGCUGGGUUGUUACAUGGCAUAUCCAGGUCAGGAGGAGGAGAGGAGAAGCGAGGAGGACCCGAAGAGACUGUUGGAAUGGAAGACUGUCAAAUGGAGACGGAACAUCUGGUCCUUGGACACGAUGCAGCAUGCAGGGGGCUUCUCAGCCUGUGCAGAGUGUGUCCUGCUCUGGAAUUCAGCCAUGCUCUGGCAUAGCUGAUGAGCUGGUGACACAGGGCCACCACCAUCUCUUCUGGGACUGAAGCGCCUCCUGGAAGAAAACUUAUCCUGCGGUAAGAGGCAGCCAGGCAGGGCCAGCUCUGGGUCUGAAUAUCGGCUCCACCAUGGGUGGGUGGGUGGACUUGGGCCCAUUUUCCUGCUUCCUAAUCUAUAAGACGUGGGAUAAUAGUGGAGCCCAAUUCACCAGCUGUUUAAGAUGGUUGCAUGAAAUAACAAUACCUGUAACAAGGCACAAGUGACAGCAUUUUCAUAUCUAGAAGCUAUCAGCGAUUUCUCUGUAUAGACCAGAGACAGAAAUGGAGUAGAGCUGUACAGGCAAUCUAUGUGAGGCUUCCUCAGAGUAAUGCAAAUAUAAGGCCAGCAAGCAAACUUACUGAGGUAGGAAGACAUUUUUCUCUGUGUGUGUGUGUGUGUGUGUGUGUGUUGCAUAAUAAAAGAGCUGGUACCCUGGAUGCUCAGGUGGUGCUGGCAGGAUUUACACCUGUGCAUGGACUGGUUGCGCCAGGCAGGCAGGUCUGGUCUUUAACAGGAACAUUCUGUUUCUCACUCUAUUGGUGUUUGGAAGCAAGUUUGACUCCUUAGGGCUUUGAAUAACACAGAGGCAAUGAGGAUUGAGGCCUUGAGAUGGAGUCACUGAACUGUGCGAUUAAUAUUGGUGGGCAUUUAAAUAAUUGGAAACUUACUAACAGAUGUGUCUGCAUUUUUACCCCCACCUGCUGAGCUGGGCCCUUGCUGGUAAUAGGCAGGUUAAGUACUUUGAGGGCUUGGCACACAAAAUGUAUACAAUGAAUAGAAGUGGUUAUAAGCUGUAGGGCCAGAUGGGAGAGGUGAGGCUGAGCAUAUAGUGGGAAUUAUAACUCAGGUUUUCCCUUGGGCCUGACCUAUGAACGCCUAUGUGUGCCCUUGGGAAGAUAGAGGGGAAUUAAGCAAAAAUGGAAAGAACACUUUGACUAAAAGCUCUAUAAGUCCUUGGGGACAUUGACAGAGCUCUUGGCAUACGCCCUUCCCCAAGAGAAGAACAGACGAAAAGCCUGCCUGCCUGCACCUGUUCCCUUCUUCUGGGAGCUGCUUCAUCUCCUAUCCCAUGCCACCCUGUGGUUUGAGUGGGAGCUACCAAUCACGGUAUUCAUCCUUAUAGUCACACAAGUGAUCACAUGACCCAGGUCCAUCCAACCAGGGACUUUCCCUGAGAAUUUUUAUUUGGAACAAACAGAGAAAAGCCAUUCACCCUUAUAGUCACACAAGUGAUCACAUGACCCAGGUCCAGCCAAUCAGGAACUUUCCCUGAGAAUUUUUAUUUGGAACGAACAGGGGAAAGCCAAUCCUUUAAAGGCAACAGCAUGAGCUGUCAUCCUCCAAAUUAUUGUGGGCCUGGUGGACCUCCCCCACCUUGUGGGAGAGAGCAAUCUGAGUAGCAGGAGGCAGAGCUAAUCCAUCAAGAGAAGUGGAGGUGAGAAAUGGAGUGGUGGGGGUUGUUAGAGGGCAUUCAAAUCCUGGUUGUGGUCAUUCCUAUACUCCAACUACACCCCGUUACUUCCCAUGGUUUGGACAUGUCACCCAAGAUGCUCUUCUUUUCAUCUGGCUACCUCAAGUUGGGAUUCCAGAACUUGAAGGUCCUGUAGUACUAGGUGAUUCCACGUGCAUUGAUAGUAGUUUGGCUGAACAUAUUGGGAGCCUGGUUGGGGGUAAUGGCACCUGCUGAGAAUGGCCAUGCCCAGCAAAGGUGGUGUUAUCUCAUAGAAAUGGCAGAGACACCCAGGAGAGAAGGCAGUGCUGGGGAAGAUGCAGUACCCGGCAGAAGCAGCAGAAAGUUGGGGGUGGGUGGAAGUGGGCACAGAAUUGAGCAGUCUUAUUGGUGAAAUCUAUCAUACAUACAUACAAUUGAUGCAGUCUAGUAUUCUUUUUAUUUCCACUUGCCUUUACACCUAGGGCAUUUUCCCUUAAAAUUAAAUAUGAGUGGAGAACAUGAUUUUUAAUGACCACAUAGCAUUCCAUCAUAUGAAUCCAACAUAAUCUACUUAACAAAUCCCCUAGUGUUGGAGAUUGUAAAUCAAUUGUCUUCAUAUUUUUUGUUUGCUUUAAUUUUUUUUUGUUAUUGUAUACUAUGCUGCCAGGAACCUCCUUGGAAAUAAAUCUUUGUGUACAUUUCUAAUGGUUUCCCUAGGAGAAAUUGUUAUAAAUGGAAUUGCCUUAUCAAAGAGUAUGGACAUUUUAAAGCCUUUGAUCCAUAUAAAUAAAUUGCCUCACAGAAUGAUUGUGACAAUUCAUACUCCCACCAUAAGGUAGAACAGUUUCCUUUCCUCUGAACCAGUGCCAGCCCUAAGUACUAUGAUUUUUUAAAAGCUUGGUUAAGAUGACAGGCAAAAUAUAUGUCUCAUUGUUUUAAUUUUGAUUUCUUUUAUUACUAGUGAUAUGGAAAUUUUUCAUAUAUUUAUUGGCUAUUUGUAGUUUUCUAUUGUACCUUUCUUAUUUAUGUUCUUUCCUCCUUUUUUUAAUGGGGUUUCCGGAUUUUCUUAUUGAUUUGUAAGAGUUAUUCACCUUGUCUGUGAUGUAUGUUACAAAUAUUAUUUCCUAGUUUCCUAGUGUGUUGUUUGAUUUUUAAUUUUGUUUACGAUAUUUUGAUAUAUGUAAUGGUUUGAUUUUUUUUCUUUUCUUUCUUUCUUUUUUUUUUUAGAUGGAGUCUCGCUCUGUUGCCAGGCUGGAGUGCAGUGGCGUGAUCUCUGCUCACUGCAACCCCUGCCUCUCAGGUUCAGGUGAUUCUCCUGCUUCAGCCUCCUGAGCAGCUGGGACUACAGGCACGCGUAGUACGCGCCUGUAUUUUUUUAGUAGAGAUGGGGUUUCACCAUGUUGACCAGGAUGGUCUUGAUCUCUUGACCUUGUGAUCUGCCCGUCUCGGCUUCCCAAAGUGCUGGGAUUACAGGCGUGAGCCACCGUGCCCAGCCUGAUUUUUAUGUUUUUAGAUUAGUUAUUCUUUUUUUGUGCUUUCUUCUUUCCAAAGAAAAGAGUGCUUUGAAAUACUUUCCUCACUCCAAAGUCAGGUAAAUAUUCACCCAUGAUUUCUUCCUGUUCGUCUAAAAUCUAAUAGAUUAAACUUCCUUAUCCAUUUAGAAUUUAUUUUGAUGGAGGUGAGGUAAGGAUCAGAUUAUUUCCCCCUCCAAAUGGUAAAUAAUUUGUCCCAACACCAUGUGUUAAAAAAAAUCUAUUCUUGGCCAUAAUUAAAAAGUAAAAAAAAAAAAAAAAAAAAUUGGCGUGGAUGUGGUGAAAGGGAACACGUUUACACUGCUGGUGGGAAUGUAAAUUAAUAUGACCAGGAUGGAUAUUCCUUACAGAACUAAAAGUAAAUCUACCAUUUGAUCCAGCAAUUCCACUACUGGGUAUCUACCCAAAGGAUAAGAAGUCAUUAUCUGAAAAAGACACAUGCACACACAUAUUUAUAACAGCACAAUUUGCAAUUGCAAAGAUAUGGACCCAACCUAAGUGCCCAUCGGCCAAUGAGUGGAUAAAGAAAAUGUGGUAUAAAUAUAUGAUAGAAUGCUACUUAGCCAUUAAAAAGUAUGAAACAACACUGUUUGCAGCAACUUGGAUGGAGCUGGACACCAUUAUUCUAAGUGAAGUAAUUCAGGAAUGGAAAACCAAAUGUCACAUGUUCUGACUUAUAAGUGGGAGCUAAGCUAUGAAGAUACAAAGUCAUAAGAGUGAUAUAAUGGACUAUGGGGGCCGGGUGCAGUGGCUCAUGUCUAUAAUCCCCACACUUUGGGAGGCCGAGGCGGGCAGAUCACCCGAGGUCAGGAGUUCGAGACCAGUCUGGCCAACAUAGUGAAACCCCGU
rnacentral:lncRNA from 1 species